AGGUUAAGUGAAUAAGGGCGCACGGUGGAUGCCUUGGCACUAGGAGCCGAUGAAGGACGGGACUAACACCGAUAUGCUUUGGGGAGCUGUAAGUAAGCUAUGAUCCAGAGAUUUCCGAAUGGGGGAACCCAGCAUCUUUUAUAGGAUGUUACGUCUGCGUGAAUACAUAGCGCAGUCGAGGUAGACGCAGAGAACUGAAACAUCUAAGUACCUGCAGGAAGAGAAAGAAAAUUCGAUUCCCUGAGUAGCGGCGAGCGAAACGGGAAAAGCCCAAACCAACAAGCUUGCUUGUUGGGGUUGUAGGACUCCGAUAUGGUAGUCUAUUCAGAUAGUCGAAAUACUUGGAAAAGUAUGUCAAAGAGGGUAAAAACCCCGUAGGCGAAAUUUGGAUAACACCUAGGAGGAUCCUGAGUACGGCGGAACACGAGGAAUUCCGUCGGAAUCCGGGAGGACCAUCUCCCAAGGCUAAAUACUCCCUAGUGACCGAUAGUGAACCAGUACCGUGAGGGAAAGGUGAAAAGCACCCCGGAAGGGGAGUGAAAUAGAUCCUGAAACCGUGUGCCUACAACAAGUUAGAGCCCGUUAAUGGGUGAUAGCGUGCCUUUUGUAGAAUGAACCGGCGAGUUACGAUAGCAUGCGAGGUUAAGUUGAAGAGACGGAGCCGCAGCGAAAGCGAGUCUGAAUAGGGCGAAUGAGUAUGUUGUCGUAGACCCGAAACCAUGUGAUCUACCCAUGUCCAGGUUGAAGGUGCGGUAAAACGCACUGGAGGACCGAACCCACGUACGUUGAAAAGUGCGGGGAUGAGGUGUGGGUAGCGGAGAAAUUCCAAACGAACUUGGAGAUAGCUGGUUCUCUCCGAAAUAGCUUUAGGGCUAGCCUCGGAAUUGAGAAUGAUGGAGGUAGAGCACUGUUUGGACUAGGGGCCCAUCUCGGGUUACCGAAUUCAGAUAAACUCCGAAUGCCAUUCAUUCAUAUCCGGGAGUCAGACUGUGAGUGAUAAGAUCCAUAGUCGAAAGGGAAACAGCCCAGACCACCAGCUAAGGUCCCCAAAUAACUAUUAAGUGGAAAAGGAUGUGGGGUUGCACAGACAACUAGGAUGUUGGCUUAGAAGCAGCCACCAUUUAAAGAGUGCGUAAUAGCUCACUAGUCGAGUGACCCUGCGCCGAAAAUGUACCGGGGCUAAAUAGUUUACCGAAGCUGUGGAGUGCACCAUCAGGUGCAUUGGUAGGAGAGCGUUCUAAGGGCGUUGAAGGCAGAUCGUGAGGACUGCUGGAGCGCUUAGAAGUGAGAAUGCCGGUAUGAGUAGCGAAAGACAGGUGAGAAUCCUGUCCACCGAAUGACUAAGGUUUCCUGGGGAAGGCUCGUCCGCCCAGGGUUAGUCGGGACCUAAGCCGAGGCCGACAGGCGUAGGCGAUGGACAACAGGUUGAUAUUCCUGUACCCGUUGUUUUUGUUUGAGCAAUGGAGGGACGCAGGAGGCUAAGAAGUGCAGACUGAUGGAUAUGUCUGUUCAAGCAGUAAGUCUUGGUAGGAGUCAAAUGCUUCUACCUAUACGGACAAGCUGUGAUGAGGAGGGAAAUAAUAGUACCGAAGCUUCUGAUGUCACACUGCCAAGAAAAGCUUCUAGUGAGAAAACAACGGCCCGUACCGCAAACCGACACAGGUAGUCGAGGAGAGAAUCCUAAGGUGAGCGAGAGAACUCUCGUUAAGGAACUCGGCAAAAUGACCCCGUAACUUCGGGAGAAGGGGUGCUGCUCUAACGAGCAGCCGCAGUGAAUAGGCCCAAGCGACUGUUUAUCAAAAACACAGGUCUCUGCAAAAUCGAAAGAUGACGUAUAGGGGCUGAC
rnacentral:rRNA from 1 species